GAGGGUAUAGGUCAGUGAGGGAGUACAUGUUUAGCAUGCUUGAAGUCCUGGGUUCAAUCCCCAGUACCUCCA
rnacentral:tRNA from 1 species